UGGUUCUGGCAUCGAUGAAGAACGCAGCGAAAUGCGAUAAGUAAUGUGAAUUGCAGAAUUCAGUGAAUCAUCGAGUUUUUGAACGCACAUGGCGCCCCUCGGUAUUCCGGGGGGCGUGCCUGUUCGAGCGUCAGUAAAAAUCUAUCAAACUAAACGUUUGGAUUUGGAGGCUUCAGGCGCCCGUGAAAAGGCGCCCCUCCGAAAGAAUUAGGCGAUCGUUCCAGACGUCGAGCGUACCAAGGUUUUUCUCAAAAUCACACGUUCCAUGGCAGCUGGAUUGACGGUUUGCCCCUAAUACCCAUUACUUUCAGGAUUGACCUCGAAUCAGGUAGGGAUACCCGCUGA
rnacentral:misc_RNA from 1 species